CACGUAGGGGGCGAGCGUUGUCCGGAUUUAUUGGGCGUAAAGAGCUCGUAGGCGGUUUCGUUAGUCGGGUGUGAAAACCCCAGGCUCAACCUGGGGACGGCACCCGAUACUGCGAUGACUAGAGUCCGGUAGGGGAGUGUGGAAUUCCUGGUGUAGCGGUGAAAUGCGCAGAUAUCGGGAGGAACACCAACGGCGAAGGCAGCACUCUGGGCCGGAACUGACGCUGAGGAGCGAAAGCGUGGGUAGCGAACAGG
rnacentral:rRNA from 1 species